rnacentral:rRNA from 1 species
AGAGUUUGAUCCUGGCUCAGAUUGAACGCUGGCGGCAUGCCUUACACAUGCAAGUCGAACGGCAGCACGGGAGCAAUCCUGGUGGCGAGUGGCGAACGGGUGAGUAAAGUAUCGGAACGUGCCCAGUCGUGGGGGAUAACGUAGCGAAAGCUACGCUAAUACCGCAUACGAUCUAUGGAUGAAAGCGGGGGAUCGCAAGACCUCGCGCGAUUGGAGCGGCCGAUAUCAGAUUAGGUAGUUGGUGGGGUAAAGGCUCACCAAGGCGACGAUGGGUAUCCGGCCUGAGAGGGUGUACGGACACAUUGGGACUGAGAUACGGCCCAAACUCCUACGGGAGGCAGCAGCUAAGAAUAUUCCGCAAUGGACGAAAGUCUGACGGAGCGACGCCGCGUGGAUGAAGAAGGCCGAAAGGUUGUAAAAUCCUUUUGCUGAUGAAGAAUAAGUGUGGUAGGGAAUGACCGCAUGAUGACAUUAGUCGGUGAAUAAGCCCCGGCUAACUACGUGCCAGCAGCCGCGGUAACACGUAGGGGGCAAGCGUUGUUCGGAAUUAUUGGGCGUAAAGGGCAUGUAGGCGGUUUCGUAAGCCUGGUGUGAAAUCCUGCAGCUUAACUGUAGAAUUGCAUUGGGUACUGCGAGACUUGAAUCACAGAGGGGAAACUAGAAUUCCAGGUGUAGGGGUGGAAUCUGUAGAUAUCUGGAAGAAUACCGGUGGCGAAGGCGGGUUUCUAGCUGAUGAUUGACGCUGAGGUGCGAAAGUGCGGGGAGCAAACAGGAUUAGAUACCCUGGUAGUCC